rnacentral:rRNA from 1 species
AAGUCGUAACAAGGUUUCCGUAGGUGAACCUGCGGAAGGAUCAUUAACGAACCGUCGGCACGAGCUGUUGCUGGCCCUCAAACGGGGGGGUAUGUGCACGCUCUGUCUGCAUCCACUCACACCUGUGCACCUUCUGUAGUUCUGUGGUCUGGGGGGUCUCUCCUCCUGUCUGCGGUUCUGCGCCUUUACACACACACUGUGACAUGGUCUUAUGGAAUGUACGCAGCGUUUAACGCAAUACAAUACAACUUUCAGCAACGGAUCUCUUGGCUCUCGCAUCGAUGAAGAACGCAGCGAAAUGCGAUAAGUAAUGUGAAUUGCAGAAUUCAGUGAAUCAUCGAAUCUUUGAACGCACCUUGCGCCCUUUGGCUAUUCCGAAGGGCAUGCCUGUUUGAGUAUCAUGAACACCUCAACCCUCAUGGCUUGCCAUGAUGGGCUUGGACUUUGGAGGCUUUGCCGGCCUGCAGUCGGCUCCUCUCAAAUGAAUCAGCUUACCGGUGCACGGUGGCGUCAUGGGUGUGAUAACUAUCUACGCUUGUGAUCGUCGGCCGGGUUACCUCUGACCUUGUCGGAGGUUCGUCGGGGGCUCACAGACGUCUCUCCACAGCGAAGACGCACUUUUGAACGUUUGAUCUCAAAUCAGGUAGGACUACCCGCUGAACUUAA